UUAAAUUUUUAUUUGGUGUUAUCCGAAUCUUUGAGCUUACAUGUUUCAUUUGGGAAUACUAACUGAAUCUUUCUUUUGACCCAACUUAGUGUGAGUGUUCGGUGCAUCUUUCGAGAGGAAUUGGCAUGUGUUCUUGGCUCUCUAGAAUUAGUGUUAAGGGGUGCGAUGGAAUCUAUUCGUCAACGACAUUUGGAAGCUCAAGGGAGAAUGACUUAACAAACCAAGAUAGUUCUUUGAAGAUUGCUAACCGCGUAAGACCAAAGGAUUUUGUUGAUCGUCGUCGUCACCCAAUGUAAAUUGAAGAAGGGGAAUAAUGUGUUUUUGUAAAGCAUCACGGCGUUGGAGUUUGUCUCGUUUUAGGCGGAAAGGGAAGCUUUCAUCGUUAGAAAGAAAAUGAGAGUUAUGGGUUAUGUAUUGGGAUACGAUGUGAGUCUUUUGGAUAACCAAGCGACUACUGAUGAAAUCCAAUUGGAAGAGGCAUUUGAUCACCGCCCAUUCUAGGUGGAAGUCUCAGGAAGUCAAUUGGACUAUCGGGUAUUCGCGAUGCUUUUUAAUACAUAGGUAUUGAGGAAGUAUGAAACGAAUCCAUUACAUGUGCUAGAGAGGUCCGAACUUAUGUUAGAAGCCGAUGUGUCCUAUGGUAAGAAACCGAUACGUAUCCUAGAUUCGCAUAAUCUAGUUUUGGAGCGGUAAGACGAUGUUGAUAGUGCGAGUUUAUGUGCGAAAAAGGGGACAAAAUUAUAGAGUAAUGUCCACAUUUGUUUUAGUUGAUUGAUGUGAGUUUUUGACGUAACACUUUCAUGAUAAUUGAACCGUUGCAUAAUGUAAGUUGCUGUGGUUUUGCGUAUCCAUAUGAUACUUGGUUUGGUUGGACUUACCUUGGUGAAUUUCGAGGACGAAAUUUUUUUUAGGAGGGUAGAAUGUAGAGACCCAUAUUUUUUAGACCAUAUUUUUUUUUCUUGUAAACGUACAACUUGUCGAGAUAGACGAUGUGGAUUUACGGUGCGGCGUGUUCGUGAAAGGAUAUAAGGGUAAAUGUGAGAGAGGUGUACGUGUGAGUGUGUGGUGUGAGAAGUAGGGUAUAAUUUUUCCUUGGUCUUCCAAUAAAUUCCAGAGGAAUGCUUUCCUCUUUCUCAUUUUCUAUCUCUCGGCUCUCUCUCUAACUCUCGCAUAUCUCUCUCUCUCUCGGCUCUCCUCCACUCUCACUCAAGAACCCAUCAAAACAACAUGAAACCUACACAAACUCAUCUACAUUUUACCUUCUAUAUGCAUUAUUGAGCCUUAAUUUCGUGGGUCAAGCUUGGGCAAGGAGGAACCGGCUGAUUUUGAAGUUUUGGAGGCUAGGGCUUUGUUUGAUCUCGGCUUUGAUACUUGAGUCAUAACUUCCUCGUCCGAUAUCAUACGCAAAUUAUAUAUCCAAUUCGAGAUCUUGAAGUCAGCUUUCCAGGGCCACCAAAAUCACCUUAAAACUCCAAGUACACAGAAAGUUAUGAUCAUAGGAGUGAAGGUGUGUCAGCUGCCUCGUUUUCUGCUGUUCCUGUCAUUUUCUGGGUUUUUUCCCAACUUCGAAUGGCCAUAACUUCCUCGUCCGAUGUCCAAUUCGAGCAUAUGAUAUAUCGAUUUCGAGGUUUUCAAGUCAUCUUUUAAUUGCCACUGAAAUUACAUUGACAUGUUAAGUAUGCAAAAAGUUAGGACUAUAGAAGUGGAGGGUGGUUAGUUGUCAUAACUUACGAAUGAGUUCGAUAGACCUGAAAUAUUGCACAAAGGUUGAGUUACGAAUUUAGGAUGAGUAUUGAUUGAAAUGUGGUACGAGGACACAUGAACAAUAAUUGUGAAAUGAUGAUGAUCAUGGAAAAUGCGAGGUGAAAUGGUUAAUCGGCAAACUAAAGUUAGAAAUGGUGAGUGAUGACUUAUUAUUGAUAUGAGUUAUGUUAAUGCGAGAUGGGCGUAAUUGUUAUACUCGUUGGUAUGUGGGUGUUGCCCUCUUAAUGAUUGUAAUACAAUAGACCCUGUUAUGAAGUCGUAUCGAUAGGUUUGCAUCGUGAGUAUACGUUGAAUAUGGGAAUAGACCCGGGUAAAGCCGUGGUGACCCAACUGCCUUGUGAAUGCGGGAAUAGACCCGGGUAAAGCCGUGGUGACCCAACUGCUCUGCGGAUUUGAGAAUAGACCUGGGUAAAGCCACGGUGACUCUCUUCCAGUUCGACUUAGGGAAAAGACCCGGGAAAAGCCUUGGUGACUCUAAGGGCGAUGUUGGUUGUAUUGAACUAAGAAUUUGGGAUAUCAUUGUUGUGUAUGGUGACUUGUAGUAACAAGUUUCGUGUGGGAUUUUAACUACGCUAUUCUUAUUAUUAUCUGUAGUUCAAUUUUUCAUCUGGUAGUGUGUUUGCCAAAGAGGCAUAGAUGACCUACCGUAGUGUGUCAUGUUGAGGUAUACCGGUAUAGGCAUUCGCGUAUUAGGCUAUAAAUGGAAUCUAAUUGUAGGGAUGUGUUAAACGAUGAGACGUGACACGAGACAAAAAAAGGGUUAAUGCGAGAAAUUCCUUGAGUUCUUAGAAGUCUUGACUGUGUAGUACAUUCAUAUUUGGCUCUAAUUGCUAUUGUCUAUCGACGUGAUCUCCUUCUUUUCGCACUUGUCUUCUCAUAUAUACAUAAAGUUAGCAUAGAUUUUUCUACUGGGCUAGUAUAGCUCAACCUAUCAUUUUUCAAGUACAAUCAGAGGCUGUGACAUGGGUUGCUGUGCUUGCAUGUGAUCCCACAUUUUGAAAGCGACUUCAGAGAGUUAAUCUUGCAUCUCUUAUAAACUUUAUCUUCGGAUGAAGGAAUUGUAAUCUUAUUAUUAUUAUUAUUAUUUUAUUAAAUGAAGGAUUUAUGUAAACUCUUAACUUUCUUUUAACGUGAUCUAGUGGUUUUAGGCCUUUGGGUCAAGGAAGUAA